GUUAAAAAGCUCGUAGUCGAAUUUCAGGUUUGACUAGAUGGUCUGCCCUUUCGGGGGUCAGCACUGUCUCUUAGUUUUACCUUUAACCCUUCUAGCUUGGACCAGGUUGUGCUUAACGGUGCAGCUUGGAGCCUCCAGGUUAGGACUUUUACCUUGAAAAAAUUAGAGUGUUCAAAGCGGGUGUCAAGCUCGAAUAGAUUAGCAUGGAAUAAUAGAAUAAGACCUUGGUCUUAUUUUGUUGGUUUCUAAGGCCACGGUAAUGAUUAACAGGAACAGUUGGGGGCAUUCGUAUUGCUGCGUCAGAGGUGAAAUUCUUGGAUUGCAGCAAGACGAACUAAUGCGAAAGCAUCUGCCAAGGAUGUUUUCAUUGAUCAAGAACGAAAGUUAGGGGAUCAAAGACGAUCAGAUACCGUCGUAGUCAAA
rnacentral:rRNA from 1 species